UUGUGUUAGUUUUGUUCAGGUACUACUAUAUGUAGUUUAAAAGGGAAGUCCGGAAAGAGACCGGCGCUGUCCCCGCAACUGUAAAUGCCGACGAUGAUUCAUAGCCACUGUGCUUAAUGCAUGGGAAGGGAAUCAAAGGAUGAAGCAAAGCCAGGAGACCUGCCUGAAUAAAGCGACUGUA
rnacentral:ncRNA from 2 species